rnacentral:rRNA from 1 species
ACGGGAGGCAGCAGUAGGGAAUUUUCGGCAAUGGGCGGAAGCCUGACCGAGCAACGCCGCGUGAUUGAAGAAGUAUUUCGGUAUGUAAAAAUCUUUUAUUUGGGACGAAAAAACAAAUUGACGGUACCAAAUGAAUAAGCCCCGGCUAACUACGUGCCAGCAGCCGCGGUAAUACGUAGGGGGCGAGCGUUAUCCGGAAUUAUUGGGCGUAAAGGGUGCGUAGGUGGCACUACAAGUCUUUGGUUAAAAUUCUAGGCUCAACCUAGUCUCGCCAAAGAAACUGUAGAGCUAGAGUACUGUAGAGGUGAGUGGAAUUCCAUGUGUAGCGGUAAAAUGCGUAAAUAUAUGGAGGAACACCAGUGGCGAAGGCGGCUCACUAGACAGAUACUGACACUGAGGCACGAAAGCGUGGGGAGCAAACAGGAUUAGAUACCCUGGUA